rnacentral:rRNA from 3 species
GAGUGCGGGCCCCUCGGGGCCCAACCUCCCACCCGUGUUGCCCGAACCUAUGUUGCCUCGGCGGGCCCCGCGCCCGCCGACGGCCCCCCUGAACGCUGUCUGAAGUUGCAGUCUGAGACCUAUAACGAAAUUAGUUAAAACUUUCAACAACGGAUCUCUUGGUUCCGGCAUCGAUGAAGAACGCAGCGAAAUGCGAUAACUAAUGUGAAUUGCAGAAUUCAGUGAAUCAUCGAGUCUUUGAACGCACAUUGCGCCCUCUGGUAUUCCGGAGGGCAUGCCUGUCCGAGCGUCAUUGCUGCCCUCAAGCCCGGCUUGUGUGUUGGGCCCCGUCCCCCCCGCCGGGGGGACGGGCCCGAAAGGCAGCGGCGGCACCGCGUCCGGUCCUCGAGCGUAUGGGGCUUCGUCACCCGCUCUAGUAGGCCCGGCCGGCGCCAGCCGACCCCCAACCUUUAAUUAUCUCAGGUUGACCUCGGAUCAGGUAGGGAUACCCGCUGAACUU